UACGUAGGGGGCGAGCGUUGUCCGGAUUCAUUGGGCGUAAAGGGUGCGUAGGCGGCGCGGUAAGUCGGGUGUGAAAUCUCGGAGCUUAACUCCGAAACUGCAUUCGAUACUGCCGUGCUUGAGGACUGGAGAGGAGACUGGAAUUUACGGUGUAGCGGUGAAAUGCGUAGAUAUCGUAAGGAAGACCAGUGGCGAAGGCGGGUCUCUGGGCCGAUACUGACGCUGAGGAGCGAAAGCGUGGGGAGCGAACAGG
rnacentral:rRNA from 1 species